rnacentral:rRNA from 1 species
GCCGAAAGGCGGGAGUGCCCGCAAGGGAGCGCGGAGACAGGUGGUGCAUGGCUGUCGUCAGCUCGUGUCGUGAGAUGUUGGGUUAAGUCCCGCAACGAGCGCAACCCUCACCCCUAGUUGCCACCGGGUAAAGCCCGAGCACUCGAGGGGAACUGCCAGCGUCAAGCUGGAGGAAGGCGGGGAUGACGUCAAGUCAUCAUGCCCCUUACGCCCUGGGCUACACACGUGCUACAAUGGCCGGUACAAAGGGACGCGAGACUGCAAGGUGGAGCUAAAUCCCAAAAAAGCUGGUCUAAGUUCAGAUUGCAGUCUGCAAACUCGACUGCAUGAAGGAGGAAUCGCUAGUAAUCGCGCAUCAGCACGGCGCGGUGAAUACGUUCCCGGGCCUUGUACACACCGCCCGUCACACCACGAAAGCUGUCUGUACUCGAA